GCCUUCGUGGUGUAAUUGGAAGCAUACUCGACGCGCAUUCGAAAGGUGCAGGUUCGAGUCCCGGCGAGGGCA
rnacentral:tRNA from 1 species